rnacentral:lncRNA from 13 species
GAGAGUAUAUAAACAAUAAGAGGUAUGAUGUGCUUAUUGCAAAUAGCUGGUAAAGACAAUAAAUACAAUGCAAAUUUAAAGGAGAUACAUUUCUUGAGGUUAGGCAGUCAGGGAGGGUUUUAUGGGAAAGUAAAGAACAAUGUAGCAUUCUAAAGUGGAAAAACAUUCUUUCAUUCCACAGACUUUUUAAAAGUACCUCAUGUACGCAGGGAAAUCCGAAAACUACUGUGGGAACAAUAGUGAAAAAGCAUGGCUGUGGCAUGAAGACACUUAGAGUCUGGAAAUUUUCUACUUACAUCACUUUGACUAAUAUCCCAUUGGUCAAAACAAGUGACACGGUCACUUUCCAGAGUCAGAAGAGCAGGAUAUAGCAAGAUUACAAGGCAAAGAGCUUGGCUACUGAAGGGUGCAAAGCACUGGGGCCUUUGAUGCAAUCUCUCUACCAACGUGACUGAAAUGUGAACUACAAGAUUUGAAUGCUUAAGGAAGGGACACAUUCACUUGGGAAUUAAGAGUAGAAUCAGGAUAAAUUCAAUCUGUCGUGGGUUCAUGAAAAAAAUUUUCAAAGUAAAUAUUAUUUGAGUAGGAUUUUGAAAAAAGGGUUCUAUGUGAGAAAAUUUUAGUAGAUUUAGUGGAGCAAAGACACAAGGGUCAGAAAGCAAUCAGCCAAGCCAGUGACAAAAGGGACAGCAAUUUGAUUCCACCCUUAGUUUGGGGUAGGGAAAAAUCUUGAGAACAAGAUUUCCAACACAGACUCAAGUGAGAGUCUAAAUUGCUUGGAAUGCUUAGCUAAAGGAGUCUGGAUUUUAUUUGUAGACAACAAGAGUCUUAAAAAUUUGCAGAGGUGUGCCUUUUCUCAGGAUAGCUGAUAUCUGAAGUGGAACUUGUGUUCAGCUGUGUAAGUUUACUACUACUUAUGCUCAAUGUAUUAAUUAGAUCUACCCAGAGCACCCGCACUACAUGGAAUUUCUUUAAUAAUGAUAUAAACUGAGGUAGAAAGAGUUAAGAUGUUAAUGGACACUGAUGCAUGCAAUUUUGAAAGUGACUUCUGAAGUAUGUUGUGG